UUCUUAAGGUUUUUAAGUUGGAGAGCUGUUGACCAAAGUCAUUGGACUGAAUAUUUCCAUCAUAAAAGGCAUGGUAACAAAAUGUUGGCAAAAGGCCUUUGCUUAAUUCAUAGUUUAUUCAACAAAACUCUCACCUGGGGGAAGACAGAGUUAAAAGGCCAGUAACAGUGGGAGGGUCAAUAAACCAUCUACCAAAGUGCUGGUGAGGUCAGGUCUUAAACCAUGUGUGAAAUGUGGAUUCUAGGCAAAGACCUCUGUUCACAUCAGUCACCAAGUUAAUUAAAUCUUGAUCUUCUGCAUCUCCAAAUGCACCUAGGACAGCCUUGCAAAAAUGAUCCUUAUCAGAGCCAUUGGAUAUCCAGGAGAUUUGCCUAUUCAGAGGUGAAUGAAGUCAGCUUUUCUGUGGGAUACACAUUGAGAAUGCAAUGGGAAAAGGUGAAGAAAAUGUUUCCUCACACUCUCCUUCUCUUCGUUGCAUUUGAUGUCAUACAUUUGUGAGCUAUGGCUGCAGUAUCAGCACUAGUCACUGCUGAGAUGACUGUUGAAACUCUACUUGGAACAGGCAACAAUUAGCACCCAAGGAGAUGGGCUCCAUUAGCCUGGGCUACCACAGACUUAAAAUCAAAGCUACUUGAAUUCCAGAUGGCUCAAAGUAUAUCUUAAUCUGUCUUGAGCAAGUCCCCUAAUCCAAAUUCCUGCCUUUGUAUGAGGACUUGAGAAAUGAUUCCUGAAAUGGCUGCAUCCAUCUUAUGACUAUGAAAGGAAGGAUAAGUCACUGACAAAGAUCCAGAUUCAAAGUCUUGAUAUCCACGUAGCAAUCAUCAACCACUGGACCUUUUCCAAAACCUAAUAAAGGAAUUUAGCCAGGUUGCAGGACACCAACUCACUCUAAAAAUCAACUAGAUCUCUAUAUUUUUGAAAUGACCUGGAAUCUUUCACUGUUCCCUGGACCAGUAAUACCAUUGUGCAAUCCUUCCUCAGUAUCUGGUGACAUCCUGUGUUUGGAAUGGCCACUUCUAAUGCCUGCAUUUGCUGAGAAGUUCUUUGGAGAAGGGGCAUAGAAGCAAAUGAAGUCAUAUUCCUUCUUGUAGUUCCAAAUCUCACCAGGAAGAGGAGAUCCUUAGACCAAUGUUCUUUCCCCUGAACCAGAGAUGAGGAACUUUUUCACAACUCUUGUGCCUUUUUGAGAAGAUGGGAGAAGUAACUACACACUGCCUUCCCCUUUCUCUUCUCACUGACCCCUCUCCAUGGAAAGAAGAGCAGCCAAUGAGAUGAGUCAGAGUCAGAUGCUAGGACUUGACUAUAAGCCACAGGUUUGAUUACUAGAAAGGAGUCCUGAUCCAGACCCCAAGAGAGGGUUGUUUGAUCUUGUGCAAGAAAGAAUUCAGGGUAAGUCCAUAGAGUAAAGUGAAAACAAGUUUAUUGGGAAAGUAAAGGAAUAAAGAAUGUCUACUCCAUAGGCAGAGGAGGAGCAGGGGCUGCUCAGCUGCUUAUAGUUAUUGUUACUUCUUGAUUAUAUGCUAAACAGGUGUGGAUUAUUCAUGAGGUUUCCAGGAAAGGGGUGGCCAAGUCCCAGAGCUGAGGGUCCCACCCCUUUUUAGCCCAUAUAGGAUAACUUCCUGACAUUGCCAUGACAUUCAUACUGUCAUGGUGCUGGUGAGAGCAUCUUUUAGCAUGCUAAUGCAUUAUAAUCAGUGGAUAAUGAGCAAUGAAGACCACCAGGGGUCACUUUCAUCCUUUCAUCACCAUCUUGGUUUUGGUGGGUUUUGGCUGGCUUCUUUACUGGAAACUGUUUUAUCAGCAAGGUCUUCGUGACCUGUACCUUGUGCCAACCUCCUAUUUCGUCCUGUGAUUUAGAAUGCCUAACCUCCUGGGAAUACAGUCUAAUAGGGCUCAGCCUUAUUUUAACCAGCCCCUAUUCAAGAUGGAGUCACUCUGGUUCAAACGCCUCUAAUAGUUUUACCCUGACUCUGCCUGGGCCCUGCUUGCCUCCUGGAUUGGUCAUUAGUGCAGUGGGUUCUCACCUGCUUCCUUCCCUCUUACUGGAGGUUCUCCUCCCUCAGAACAUACCUUUAGCCUCCCCAUUCAUGAUUAGUGAGUAAAUGAGGUUUAUGCAGUCCUGUGGGCUCAGCUGACUCUACUUAAUUGUUAACAGAAUUUGAUAUCCUACUUGAGUCCUCAAACCUUAGCCAUUUCUUUUAGCACAGUUUACGACAAAUCCUACUUGUUAGUCACUGUUUUUACAUGAUUAAUAAAGCCGAAAUUUUUAGUCUUGUUUUGGCUAAUGAUUCUUGUGCCAAUUCUUUCCAUAGAUUAAAAUUUGGGGAGAACAGAAUGGAGUAAUUGUCACCUCUAAUCACUAAGCCUCAGAUAUAGUCAAAUUUGAAUGAACCAUUAUUUAAGUUAACUUUAUUUUUCUAUCCUAGGCUUCUAAAGAGAUGAUUGACCUAAAAAAAGCUAAAGUAUGGGAUUUUAAUAAGAAAAAUUUCAGAAUUAAUACAUAUUUGGCUUAACUUUUAAUCUCUUAAAGGUGAGAAUGAGAAGGGGGUGUUAGUGGUUUGACAAAAAGGAAAAGGAAGAAAAUUCUAUAUCCAUCUUAAAAAGUGGGAGAGUUAAUUCACUAGUGGGUUGUAAGAGGAUCUCUGG
rnacentral:lncRNA from 1 species